AUUUAUUUGUGUAGUUUUACAUUCCGGUUUUGCAAUGAGCUGUGGGUCCAACUCUGGGGAUUCAACAGUAAUCAGCCAGGUAGGAUCCCAGCUCCUGAGCUUAGAUCUCAGCAAUCUUGAAGGUCAGCUAUCAGGGGUACAAUAUUUACGAAGAGAUGCUGGUAAAAACUCCAUUUUCUAAAACAAAUGUGAAAAGAGAACACUAAUCAGAUUCAUUAGCUAAAGAAUGGGGAUUAGAAUUAAGCCAUAGUCCUAAAACUGAUGAAGAUGAAAGCUUUGAAACUUGACAUAGGCCUGGGAGCAUUGAAAGUUACAUAUAAUUCUAGGAAGGGGCUGUGAUCCCAGAUAAAUCAGAGACCAUGUUCCAGAAUGGAGCAAACAGCAAGUGAGGACCCAACAUCCAACACUGGAUCCCUCUGAGGCUCUCAUGUGAGACCGCAUAAGAGGCAGUCUGGACAAAGGGCAUGAGUGAGGCUCCUGAAGAUGGAAUGAAUUAGUGUGCCCAGCCAGGGUGAAGCAGGAUGGCCAAAACAUGGGUGACAGGAGAGCAGUAUUAUCAUAUGAACACCCCUCCAUCUCACACCAGUGAGGCUUCCUGUGAAAGGAGAAAAGAUGGCCGUCCUUGCAUCUGGGGUCAAGUAGAGGAAGCUGGUCCCUUGCUCUUCUCAAAGGGUGAGUGUCUUUUAUUAGAGGGUAGGGGCGACUGUGGACUAGAGCUUAGUCCUUUACAGCCCGCUCUUUCGAAUGGCAUUGCUCAAGGGUCCAAUGCUGGCACCUGGCGGUCAUUUAAGUUACUGCACACUUUUCUUCCCUCCGGACUAAGUGGGAUCCCUUUCAGGUCUCUUCUCACCGAAAAAUGUGUUCCUCAUGUUCUCCUCUCACUUGCAUCUCAUGGCAUGUGUUUCCAGCUCUGUAGGUGGAAGCAGCAGGGUGCCUGCAAGUUGGAAUUAACGAAUAGGAGUAGACAAGAGGUGUGCAGUGAGAGCAGGGGCUAAGAGAUCAGCUAAGAGUAUUGCCAGAAGCUACCCCCAGAGAGGGAGGAGAGUGCUGGAAUGAAGGCCUCUCCUUCAUGCUGCAUUACCCGUCAUCCAGGCAGCCAGCCUAGCAGGGGGGGGUUAACAUCUUCAACAUAAAAAGUCAUGUUUAGGGCCGGGGAUUCAGCUCAGCGGUUCGGUGGCUUGCCUCGCAAGCGCAAGGACCCGAGUUCAAUUCCCCGGUAAAAAAAAAAAAAAAAAGAAGUCAUCUUUAAAAGAAAUUCAGAAAAGGAGAAGGAAAGAAUAAGAAACUAC
rnacentral:lncRNA from 1 species